rnacentral:tRNA from 1 species
GCACUCGUAGCUUAAUAGGAUAAAGCGUCGGCUUGCGGAGCCGAAGACUGUGAGUUCGAUUCUCACCGGGUGCA